rnacentral:lncRNA from 1 species
GGCCACCUCCAAGAAGGCCCUCUCAUCUAAGAAGGCGAAGCAAAGGGAGCUAGGCCAGUUUGCCUCCAAGUCAAGUUGGGCUUCUGCCCCCUCUACGGAGCCUGAGAAGAAGCCACUGUCGCCUAUCAAGGGUAAGAACGCCUCUUUCUCCAUCGAGCAGAUCCCCAAUGCGAUCUGCGAGCACUGCAUUGAGGAGUUCAAGACUUCGGCGGC